rnacentral:rRNA from 1 species
AUCUACCUUCAGGACGGGGACAACAGCUGGAAACGGCUGCUAAUACCCGAUAUGCCGAAAGGUGAAACGUUGUUUCGCCUGGAGAGGAGCUCGCGUCCGAUUAGCUAGUUGGUGGGGUAAAAGCUUACCAAGGCGACGAUCGGUAGCUGGUCUGAGAGGAUGAGCAGCCACACUGGAACUGAGACACGGUCCAGACUCCUACGGGAGGCAGCAGUGGGGAAUUUUCCGCAAUGGGCGAAAGCCUGACGGAGCAACGCCGCGUGGGGGAAGAAGGUUUUUGGAUUGUAAACCCCUUUUCUCAAGGAAGAACAAAAUGACGGUACUUGAGGAAUCAGCCUCGGCUAACUCCGUGCCAGCAGCCGCGGUAAUACGGAGGAGGCAAGCGUUAUCCGGAAUUAUUGGGCGUAAAGCGUUCGUAGGCGGCUGUUCAAGUCUGCUGUCAAAGACCGAGGCUCAACCUCGGGUCGGCAGUGGAAACUGGAUAGCUAGAGGUCGGUAGGGGCAGAGGGAAUUCCCAGUGUAGCGGUGAAAUGCGUAGAUAUUGGGAAGAACACCGGUGGCGAAAGCGCUCUGCUGGGCCGAACCUGACGCUGAGGGACGAAAGCUAGGGGAGCGAAUGGGAUUAGA